rnacentral:rRNA from 1 species
CCUACGGGGGGCAGCAGUGGGGAAUAUUGCACAAUGGGGGGAACCCUGAUGCAGCGACGCCGCGUGAGUGAAGAAGUAUUUCGGUAUGUAAAGCUCUAUCAGCAGGGAAGAAAAUGACGGUACCUGACUAAGAAGCCCCGGCUAACUACGUGCCAGCAGCCGCGGUAAUACGUAGGGGGCAAGCGUUAUCCGGAUUUACUGGGUGUAAAGGGAGCGCAGACGGCUGUGCAAGUCUGGAGUGAAAGGCGGGGGUCCAACCCCCGGACUGCUCUGGAAACUGUAAAGCUGGAGUGCAGGAGAGGUAAGCGGAAUUCCUAGUGUAGCGGUGAAAUGCGUAGAUAUUAGGAGGAACACCAGUGGCGAAGGCGGCUUACUGGACUGCAACUGACGUUGAGGCUCGAAAGCGUGGGGAGCAAACAGGAUUAGAUACCCCUGUAGUC